GACGUAGGGCGCGAGCGUUGUCCGGAUUUAUUGGGCGUAAAGAGCUCGUAGGCGGCUUGUCGCGUCGACUGUGAAAUCCCGCGGCUCAACUGCGGGUCUGCAGUCGAUACGGGCAGGCUAGAGUUCGGGAGAGGGAUGCGGAAUUCCGAGGUGUAGCGGUGAAAUGCGUAGAGAUGUGGAGGAACACCAAUGGCGAAGGCAGCCUCCUGGCCAACACGUGACACUCAU
rnacentral:rRNA from 1 species